UCCGAGCAACGGAGCUGCCAGGAUUCUACGUCCAGUAACCUCUCACUUCAUAAGGGAGCUUUACUCAACUCUACAGCUGUAGUCAACUUCCCUGAGCUCUGCACACAUAUUUCACUCCCCACGACAGCAGGGGAAGAGCUGUGAGCUCUCCCAAAGGAGUGGUCCGAGCACAGGCCUGAGCAUCUCACAAGGCGGGGAGGAGGGCGCAAGCUCCUCAGAGGAAGGUGCCAGAGCUGGGCCGGAGCUGUGCCCGGCACACUGAGAGAAAUCCUAAGUGGGAAGCACACUAAUCCAGCUCAGAGCAGCCACCUCGCUGCCCAUAAGCUCAGGGAGGCCAUGGAAGCCAUCCGGAACUAACGUUCUUAGGGUGAUACCUACCGCCAAGGACUGCAAUGGCCUUUGGGUUUGAGUCAUCCUAGCGCUUGAUCUCCGUCUCCCACGGCUGGAAAAAGACCAAACUGAAAUGUGAAGUAAGCUCUGAAGGAACAGUUGGGAAGUUCAUGCCUGUGUAGCCUUUACCCCUUUCCACCCUGAGCCCUGAGCCCACUCUCCCCUGUAGAUCUAUCUGGGGACUCACAGCAGUGCUGCUGUGCUGACAGUGUCUCCCCGAAUCGUGUGGCAGAGCAUUCACCGGCUUCCUCUCGAAUAACUGCCAUUCAGCCUUCCGCAGAAGCCCACGGGGGCUGAACGCCAGUGAGCUGGAGCUUCUUGUUCCUUUGCCUCCUUCCUCCGUGAACAGAUUCCUCGGUCUGGGCCCCGCGCCGCCAUCAGAGCAGCCUCCCACUCCAGUGUGCAAAGUCACACUUUCCGGACAACUGCCCACUGUUGACUGAGCCUCAGUGGCAGGUGGGGAGGGGUGAGGUUGAGGGGGGAUGGUGGGUCAGGAUUAGGUGUAGAGACCACGGCGGAGGCCUGUUCUGCAAGGCAGGUAGGGGACUCCGUGGCUCCGCUGGCGCAGAGAGAGAGGGACAGGUAUCGUUACCUGAGGAUGGUUUUCAUUUGGAGACAAAAAGCUUCAAAAGUCUGGAGCUCUGGGUGCAGAGAUUUGCUCAAGAACCCUUUCCUCCCCCCCAACUAACGCCCUGGUUGCUGAUGUUCGGCUAAAAAAAGAUCUUCCUUUAC